CCUGUGAGCUGCCCAUCCAUCAGCUCAGAUCUGAUGGGGUCCGCUGUGUCCAUCGGUGACCACUUAACCAUCCGGUGUACCUCCGAAAGUGGGACACUGCCUAUAAACCUCAUGCUAUACCGUCACCACCACCACCUCCUGAGGAACACAACAGUCGUUGACUCCAGGACAGCCACUUUCCAUGUCACCAUGCCACCUGAGGGGGAGGGCGCUGUGUACUCCUGCUGUGCUGCAAAUGCCGUUGCCCACGUUAUCAACUGUAGUGAGUUGCUCGCCCUCACUGUGUCAGAUUGUUAUUCUAUUGGACAACUAUUUCGCCUGUGUCUUGCAGCAGUUGUUUUGGUUCUGCUUGCAAUCUUUCUUGCGUUGGAACUGAGAAAUAAAUCCUAGGAACCGAAGAGUAUAAAUGCUCCAACUGCGUCUCGGGGCAACAUCACAGACAGAACAAUCAAUUCCUUCAGUGGCUCAAUAAUUCAACAAGGACAUUCGCUCUGGUCCAUCACAAGGAUACAACAAAAGGAUUCCUCAUCAGCUGCAAGGUACUAGAUUCCGAGAAUGGAUGUAUAUUGACUCAUCAACAACAAAUAAAAUGCAAAAUAAAAACUGUGUGUCCAGACAUACCCCAAUCCCAUGAACAAAGAUAAAAGAAAAUGAGAAUUGUGACAAAAGUGAACUGAGAAAUUGCAUUUGUUCAGCAAGGGUGUAGCCUGAUGACUGUGGUCAGUGAAUCUAAUGACAGGUAUGUGCACAAUGUAUGCAACGUACAAUGUACGGAUAUAUGUUGUGUUGGGACCAUUAUUGUUUUUCUCCAUUUGGAGCUGUGAGCUGAAUUUCAACAUUGAAUUUGGAACUUUGAUCAGGAGUUUGCUUCUAUUUCAUUUUUAAAAGAGCAAGAAACUUAUGUUUGCAUUUGGAGAUUGGUCUGGAAAUAUAAUUG